AUUGCUUCUUGGCCUUUUGGCUAAGAUCAAGUGUAAAAAACUGUAACUAUGUGAGGUGAUGGAUGUAUUAACUGAUAGUGGUGGUCACUUUGCAAUAUAUACGUAUAUCAAAUUAUUACAUUGUAAUUAAAUGCAUACAAUGUUC
rnacentral:snRNA from 1 species